rnacentral:rRNA from 1 species
GACGAACGCUGGCGGCGUGCUUAACACAUGCAAGUCGAACGGAAAGGCCCUGCUUUUGUGGGGUGCUCGAGUGGCGAACGGGUGAGUAACACGUGAGUAACCUGCCCUUGACUUUGGGAUAACUUCAGGAAACUGGGGCUAAUACCGGAUAGGAGCUCCUGCUGCAUGGUGGGGGUUGGAAAGUUUCGGCGGUUGGGGAUGGACUCGCGGCUUAUCAGCUUGUUUGUGGGGUAGUGGCUUACCAAGGCUUUGACGGGUAGCCGGCCUGAGAGGGUGACCGGCCACAUUGGGACUGAGAUACGGCCCAGACUCCUACGGGAGGCAGCAGUGGGGAAUAUUGCACAAUGGGCGGAAGCCUGAUGCAGCAACGCCGCGUGCGGGAUGACGGCCUUCGGGUUGUAAACCGCUUUCGCAUGUGACGAAGCGUGAGUGACGGUAAUGGGUAAAGAAGCAACGGCUAACUACGUG